ACGACCCCCUGUCGCAUGGUGGGGGGUGGAAAGGGUUUGACUGGUUUUGGAUGGGCUCACGGCCUAUCAGCUUGUUGGUGGGGUAAUGGCUCACCAAGGCGACGACGGGUAGCCGGCCUGAGAGGGUGACCGGCCACACUGGGACUGAGACACGGCCCAGACUCCUACGGGAGGCAGCAGUGGGGAAUAUUGCACAAUGGGCGGAAGCCUGAUGCAGCGACGCCGCGUGAGGGAUGACGGCCUUCGGGUUGUAAACCUCUUUCAGCAGGGAAGAAGCCACAAGUGACGGUACCUGCAGAAGAAGCGCCGGCUAACUACGUGCCAGCAGCCGCGGUAAUACGUAGGGCGCAAGCGUUGUCCGGAAUUAUUGGGCGUAAAGAGCUCGUAGGCGGUUUGUCGCGUCUGCUGUGAAAGCCCGGGGCUCAACCCCGGGUCUGCAGUGGGUACGGGCAGACUAGAGUGCAGUAGGGGAGACUGGAAUUCCUGGUGUAGCGGUGAAAUGCGCAGAUAUCAGGAGGAACACCGAUGGCGAAGGCAGGUCUCUGGGCUGUUACUGACGCUGAGGAGCGAAAGCAUGGGGAGCGAACAGGAUUAGAUACUCUGGUAGUCCAUGCCGUAAACGUUGGGCACUACGUUGGGACAUUCCACGUUCUCCACGCCGUAGCUAACGCAUUAAGUGCACNGCAUGGGAGUACGACCGCAAGGCUAAAACUCAAAGGAAUUGACGGGGACCCGCACAAGCGGCGGAACAUGCGGAUUAAUUCGAUGCAACGCGAAAACCUUACCAAGGCUUGACAUUCACCGGCUACCUCGAAAUGGGGUUUCCCUUCGGGGUCGGUGGACAGGUGGUGCAUGGUUGUCCUCAACUCGUGUCCUGAGAUGCUGGGUUAAACCCCAACGGCGCAACCCUCGUUCUAUGUUGCCAGCACGUGAUGGUGGGGACUCAUAGGAGACUGCCGGGGUCAACUCGGAGGAAGGUGGGGAUGACGUCAAAUCAUCAUGCCCCUUAUGUCUUGGGCUUCACGCAUGCUACAAUGGCCGGUACAAAGGGUUGCGAUACUGUGAGGUGGAGCUAAUCCCAAAAAGCCGGUCUCAGUUCGGAUUGAGGUCUGCAACUCGACCUCAUGAAGUCGGAGUCGCUAGUAAUCGCAGAUCAGCAACGCUGCGGUGAAUACGUUCCCGGGCCUUGUACACACCGCCCGUCAAGUCACGAAAGUUGGUAACACCCGAAGCCGGUGNCAGUAGACUUGCAUUCAUGGNACAGAUACGANANGNNUGGNGGNNNGU
rnacentral:rRNA from 1 species